rnacentral:rRNA from 1 species
GCAAGUCGAACGGUAAGGUCUCUUCGGAGAUACACGAGUGGCGGACGGGUGCGUAACGCGUAUGCAACCUACCCUUUAACGGGGGAUAGCCUGAAGAAAUUCAGAUUAAUACCCCAUAGUAUCAUUGAACCGCAUGGUUCUGGUGAUUAAAACUCCGGUGUUAAAGGAUGGGCAUGCGUGACAUUAGCUAGAUGGUGAGGUAACGGCUCACCAUGGCAACGAUGUCUAGCUGGUCUGAGAGGAUGAUC